AUGGAUCAGUGCUAACUGCUACACUGUGUAACAAUAAGCAAUAUUAUGUUUCAAACGUUGUGGCGACGAGAAAUGAAGCAGCGUUGCGCUGCAAGUCGAUGAAUAUGACGCUCUUGACCGUCGCUUCCUUGGAGGAAAUGGACUGUCUCGCCGCUGUUAAAGUCGGAACUUUCUGGACAAGUGGUUCCAACGAAGAUCUGAAAUGCGACUUGGAAAAGAAGUACGCUUGGUGCUCCACGGGAUUCAACGUCUCUACAACUUUGACUUCGUCUAAGAAUUAUUGGCUUCCAACCACCGCUGCUCCUUCCACUUUGGAACGAUGUUUGGCCGUUGUCACGUCAGCUCAGAAUAAGGGGAUGGUGCACAGAAAAUGCGAUGACACCCUACACUACGUCUGCCAGUUUAAUGUUGACUGUCCGAAGAUUUGCAACAAAAACGAUUCUCUAUUUGACUCUUCUGGGAAACUUAUUAAUGAAACCUCAUACGGAUUUUGGAUCGACAUUGGCAACUACACCUAUCUUUUGGGAAACAAGCCGGUUUU